CAGUGACAAACCUGAGACAACUUCAGCUCCAAUAACCAGCACAACUGCAGGAGAAGGCAGUGACAAACCUGGGACAACUUCAGCUCCAAUAACCAGCACAACUGCAGGAGAAGGCAGUGACAAACCUGGGACAACUUCAGCU